AGCAGCCGCGGUAAUUCCAGCUCCAAUAGCGUAUAUUAAAGUUGUUGCAGUUAAAAAGCUCGUAGUUGAAUUUCGGGAUCAAAGGAUCGGUCAUGCCUUGGUAUGUACUGGUUUUAUUGGUUCUCACCUUCUAAAGAACCAUAAUGUCAUUCAUUUGAUGUUAUGGGGAAUUAGGACUGUUACCUUGAAAAAAUUANAGUGUUUAAAGCAGGCUUACGCUUGAUACAUUAGCUGGAAUAAUGAAAUAGGACACCAGAUUCUAUUUUGUUGGUUUCUAGGNUCGAUGUAAUGAUUAAUAGGGAUAGUUGGGGGCAUUAGUAUUCAAUUGUCAGAGGUGAAAUUCUUGGAUUUAUUGAAGACUAACUACUGCGAAAGCAUUUGCCAAGGAUGUUUUCAUUAAUCAAGAACGAAAGUUAGGGGAUCGAAGACGAUCAAAUACCGUCGUAGUCUUAACCAUAAACUAUGCCGACUAGGGAUCGGAUGAUGUUAAUUUUUAUAAUGACUCAUUCGGCACCUUACG
rnacentral:rRNA from 1 species